AGCGGCGGACGGGUGAGUAACACGUGGGCAACCUGCCUCAUAGAGGGGAAUAGCCUCCCGAAAGGGAGAUUAAUACCGCAUAAGAUUGUAGCUUCGCAUGAAGUAGCAAUUAAAGGAGCAAUCCGCUAUGAGAUGGGCCCGCGGCGCAUUAGCUAGUUGGUGAGGUAACGGCUCACCAAGGCGACGAUGCGUAGCCGACCGGAGAGGGUGAUCGGCCCCAUUGGGACUGAGACACGGCCCAGACUCGGGCGGGAG
rnacentral:rRNA from 1 species